rnacentral:rRNA from 1 species
GGCAGUGUGCCUAANGCAUGCAAGUCGAGCGAGUCUUCCCGCUUCGGUGGGAAGGAGAGCGGCGGACGGCUGAGGAACACUCAGGGAACCUGCCCUACGGUGGGGGAUAACUCCGGGAAACCGGAGCUAAUACCGCGUACGCUUCCGUGCCACAAGGCGCGGAAGGAAAGCCGCAAGGCGCCGAAGGAGGGUCCUGGGUCCCAUCAGGUAGUUGGUGAGGUAACGGCUCACCAAGCCAACGACGGGUAGCUGGUCUGAGAGGACGGUCAGCCAGAGGGGGACUGAGAACGGCCCCCACUCCUACGGGAGGCAGCAGCAAGGAAUCUUGGGCAAUGGGCGAAAGCCUGACCCAGCGACACUGCGUGGGGGAAGAAGGCCUUCGGGUCGUAAACCCCUUUUCCUGGGGAAGAGCAAGGACGGUACCCAGGGAAUAAGUCCCGGCUAACUACGUGCCAGCAGCCGCGGUAAUACGUAGGGGACAAGCGUUACCCGGAAUUACUGGGCGUAAAGGGCGUGUAGGCGGCAAGGCAUGUCCCGCGUGAAAAUGAAGGGCUUAACCCUUCACUGUCGUGGGAAACGGUCUUGCUAGAGGACAGUAGAGGCGGGUGGAAUUCCCGGUGGAGCGGUGAUAUGCGUAGAGAUCGGGAGGAACACCGGUGGCGAAGGCGGCCCGCUGGGCUGAUCCUGACGCUGAGGCGCGAAAGCGUGGGGAGCAAACCGGAUUAGAUACCCGGGUAGUCCACGCCCUAAACUAUGGAUGCUAGGUAUGGGAGGUAUCGACCCCUUCCGUGCCGUAGCUUACGCGUUAAGCAUCCCGCCUGGGGAGUACGGCCGCAAGGCUAA